GAUGGAAUCUCUUCAGCUCCCUCGCCACCGAAUGAAGCCUGGGAGCGAACCUCCAUUCCAGCCAACUUGGGACAAGUCCCCUGCCGGAGCACGCGGCCGCCUGACAGGGUCCCGGAGAAAGGGGAGGGGACUAGGAGAAACCGUGGUCUGCCCGCUCGACUUGUACCAGAUGAGGUGGCGCCUGUGUUCACAGCAGCACCCUCCCCCGCAUGUUCAAGGGUGAACUGGGUCACGAGGCAUGAUUUAUCCCCAGAGGAACACACACCCACCACACCAUACGCAGGAGCCGCUGGGAGGCAGACCUCUACAGGUGCUGAAGGAAGCAGCCACGUACCCGCUACCUGGAUCCAUUUACAAGAAGUUCACAACCAGGACAAGCAAAUUCAUGGUGGUGGAGGCAAACAUGGGGCUCUGGGACCCAGAGAUGUACUACUUCCUGAUGUGAGUGAUGCUUAUGUGCCUUUGCAAACUUGGAUCACUUCUGACCUGGGACCUGCAUUACAUGUUUCUUCAAUAAAGUAUUUUUAACUAA